CCUACGGGUGGCAGCAGUAGGGAAUCUUCCACAAUGGGCGAAAGCCUGAUGGAGCAACGCCGCGUGGGUGAAGAAGGUCUUCGGAUCGUAAAACCCUGUUGUUAGAGAAGAAAGUGCGUGAGAGUAACUGUUCACGUUUCGAUGGUAUCUUACCAGAAAGCCACGUCGAACUACGUGCCAGCAGCCGCGGUAAUACGUAGGUGGCAAGCGUUAUCCGGAUUUAUUGGGCGUAAAGGGAACGCAGGGGGUCUAUUAAGUCUGAUGUGAAAGGCUUCGGCUGACCCGGUGGAGUGCAUGGGAAACUGGGAGACUGGAGUGCAGAAGAGGAGAGUGGAACUCCAGGUGUAGCGGUGAAAUGCGUAGAUAUAUGGAAGAACACCAGUGGCGAAAGCGGCUGUCUGGUCUGUAACUGACGCUGAGGUUCGAAAGCGUGGGUAGCAAACAGGAUUAGAUACCCGGGUAGUC
rnacentral:rRNA from 1 species